UACGGAGGGAGCUAGCGUUGUUCGAAAUUACUGGGCGUAAAGCGCACGUAGGCGGCUUUGUAAGUUAGAGGUGAAAGCCCGGGGCUCAACUCCGGAACUGCCUUUAAGACUGCAUCGCUUGAAUCCAGGAGAGGUGAGUGGAGUUCCGAGUGUAGAGGUGAAAUUCGUAGAUAUUCGGAAGAACACCAGUGGCGAAGGCGGCUCACUGGACUGGUAUUGACGCUGAGGUGCGAAAGCGUGGGGAGCAAACAGG
rnacentral:rRNA from 1 species